AGAUGGCCGAUGCUGUCACGACUUGAUAGAAUACGUGUUGAUUUGUGUUGAAGACAAAUUAAUAAUGAAUUGUUGCAUUUGCAAAACUAAGUUUGGUGAUGGACCAAACUUUCACAGGUUUCCAAAAAUUGAGCCUCGAAGGCAACAAUGGCUAACAGCAAUUAAUAAACAUAUUGAAAACUUUACACCUAUUGCAAACGCACGUAUAUGUAG